rnacentral:lncRNA from 1 species
UUUUUUUUUUUUUCCUUUUUGUCUUUAUUGGGGUUUUUUUUAUGCUGGUGGUGGUUUUGGGGGAUUUUGCUUUACCUUGCUCUGAUUGCUUUAUUUCAUGGCUUGUCUUAACACACUUUCUCCAAAAAUCACUGACCAAGGAUAAAAGAAACCUCGAUUGCUCCAGAAAUCCCUCACCAAAGGGAGCAGGACACAGCAAGGAAGCAGGAGUUUUGAACCCACUCUCACUUUCAGCAUUUCUAUCCUUAUAAAAACUUCAUCUUCCAUAUUAUUUCCAUAUUAUUAAGCUCUUCCUAUUCAAAGAUCCCAAAAAGGUGGCUGUGUGAACUACCCAACCUGGAGUUCGAGGCCUUUAUGGGUGAGGAAACAUUUGAGAGCAUAACAACAGCACAAAAUCUUUAUCAAGGAUUGUUGGAGAGCUGGAAUUACCAGUGGCUAUCAGUCAAUAAUUGUUGAAGUAAGUGCUGGGUAAGGGAUAACCCUUCCCAAGCAAUUCUGCUGUGGGAACGAGAAAAGCAGCUGGAAGGAAUUCAUGACUAGAACGUCGCAGAGCUCAAAGAAAUGUGAUGUAUAAACAGAUUAUUAUUUCCUGUGGAUAUUGAUGAUAAAUGAACUGGAUUUGGUAUGUCUGGGAAAUAUCACCACCCUCCAAGCCACUGCAGCUCCCUGUGGCUGAAGGCAAAAACCUCUCCUGUAACUUAUGAGGAUUUAGGAAAAAAAAGAGAGCACUGAGUAUCUGGGCCGUUGGAAAUACAAAAGUUGCACAUUCCUCCUGCACAUUUUUCAUUUAAUUAGUAUUUCCUGCGGGCUUUCAGUGUAAUGAGUCAUUGAUUAUUGCAAGGAGUGCUUUGUAGGGUAAAUUAAUUCAUUUAAGAGAAACGGUAAGAAGUGUUAAGUAGCUGGAUAAAUAAAUAAAAGGCAAAGUGUUUUGGUCAUUUGGUUGCAAGUCAGGCCCAGGGGACCCCCAUUUCUCUAAAUCAGCUACUCAGUGAGCACACCAAUACCUGCCCUCCUCUUUCCUUAUCUUUACCUGUACCUGCAGCUUUUAUAAAACAUGGAAAAUCCCUACAGAUUAAACAAAAAUAAAGAAAAUUCUGCUUCUCUACUGAAAAUCAGAUUCCUUUUACCAACCUGAUAACAAUUACAUGAGAAAAUAUAUGUAAAAGAUUGAGUUUUUGCUUAAUUUAGAGAAAACUUCUAUUGCUGCAUGUUCAUUUCAAAUAAUAAACAGAAUUUCUGAAAAUAAAGCAAGGAGAGUACAUUAACAUUUAAGGUCAAAAAGAGUAAAAGGUGAUGUUUGGAAGAACUGGUUAUACCUGAGACACUGAUCUUAAAACAUGGACCUGGGACAGGACGAAGGAUAUAUAAGGAUAUUACCUGGCUUUUCACAGGGCUUGCAAACAGUUAUUCUAAGGGAAAAGUCUUUGAAACAAGAAACAUCUUCAAUGCAAACAGAGGUGGAAAAGGAGUUAAUUUUUCCUCCUUGGGACAUCUCUGAUUCUUCUUAGCUGAAGAUAUAUUGGUAUUUAUCAAUAUAUUUAUGCAGGAUGUGAUUUACCAACCCAGUCAGCAACUGGCUUUUGAGAAUUCCAUACAAGGGAAAGAAAGAAACAAUAUAAUUCCUCAUGACCUUACCUUGAGCCCAUUCCCACCACAAAUGAGCUUGGAUCACAAAAGAUUUGGCACCAGUAAAAUCUGGUUAUAGUUUGUGAAGAUCCCAAACUCCCUGCAGUGUUAAACUCCAUAAAUCCAGGGGAAAGGUUGCCUCGUAUUUGGACUGAACAAGGAGCUACAAAAUCCACAAACAUUGUGGUUCCUUUGGUGGUUUUUAUUGUUGAGAAGGGUUCCCAAUGUGCUGGGAGGAAAUUUCUUUCCAUUGGUCUCAUUUUGUCUUUACAAAACUUGCCUUUUGCUGCCUCCGGCCUUGGAAACUGAAUUUUAGGUGUUGGCCAGAAACACUCUUUGAACACCCAGGCACAGAAAGGUAACAACCACCUCAGUUUCCAAAUAUUUCUUCAAUUCACACUGUGAAGAAAUAGAGAAAAAAACCCCUUUAUACAGGAAAUUAUUCAUAGAAAUCACAAUCUAAGCAGGGGAAAUGCUAAAUCCGAGAAGUAAAUUAGUCAUUUAUAAUAUGCACUCAGAUCUAGCCUGAGAUGUGCUAUUAACUCAUUUUAAGCUGCAAAACUCCAGGGACAAGAGCCACAUUUUCCAUGUUGGGACUUGCAGAGUUAAAUUUAAACCCAUUAAUGGUACUCACCAAGCACCAGCGCUCUGAGGUGGCCUCACUGAGCAAGGCAGAGCAAAUUCCAUUUAUCCAAGGUUCUUCCUCCAGUGAGGAACAGUUAUCAGGCCGCAUGAAAGCUGAAUUAAAAAUCUCAACUUAAAAUAGGGUGUGUAAAAAGUAGCAGGGAGUCCUUCCCUCCCUGGAGAUCCCCGUUUUCCCAACAAGCAGGCGGAUUGUAAGGAGCCAUUGUCUAUUAUUUUCUGCUGGUAAAUGACUUAGUUCCCAUGUCUACAAUGCUGAAGGGGACUCCAGCUUGGGGACACAUCUCCAGCUGGCCCUGUGCAGGCACGGAGCCUCUCCCAGGGAACACAGGGAGCUCAGGGAGUUUCACUCCUUGGCAUGGAAAAGAGGGCAAAGAAAAUUGCCUUUCCAGCAUCAGCAGCCAGGUGAGUAGGAAUGCCUUUACAGACAUGGAUUUUGGGGGGACUUCAAUGACAGAAAUUUGCUUACUGGGAACUCACGAAGCUGGGGGUGUCUCUGGGAAGAAUGCAGAGGUGGGGAGGCCCUGGCACAGGUUACCCAGAGAAAUUGUGGCUGCCCCAUCCCUGGAAGUGUUCAAACCCCAUCUGGCUGGGGUUUGGAACAACCUGAUCUGGUGAAGGUCCCUGUCCACAGCAGGAGGGUUGGAGUGAGGUGAUCUUUGAGGUCCCUUUUAACCCAAACCCUUUUGUGACUCUGUGAUUUAGAUUUUUGACUUGGGACUGAUGAUUCUGAUGUUGAAAUGGCUGAUAACAUCAGGGUUUUUUCCCCCCAUAUCUGUUUGGUUACUAAAAAUAGCACAGAAUCAUGCAAUACAUAGUUUGGGUUGGAGGGCAGCUUAAGGAUCACCUAAUACCAGCAUGCAGUGAGAAUGUUCACAAAAAGAGCUGAGUUCUGCCCUAUUAUUAUCUUCAUAAAAUAUUUUUUAUUUUCUAGAAAUUGCAAAAGUUGAUCCUUGCAAUGCUUUACAAAUAAUGCAUUUAUCCAUCAUUUAAACCGUACAUUAUAAUUUAUAGGUUAGUUAUUUUAUUUUGGUGUCAAUCAAAGUGGGAAUCUGUAUGAAAGAGCUUAGAUUAGGAGAGAGAUUUUUCAUGGUAAGCUUUAAUAAACUAACGAUGACAUUAUAAGAGCUAUCAAAUAAAAACCUGCCAUCUAAUAAUAAGCUUGUUCCUGUUUAUUUAAAUGUUCCACUUUGUGCUUGUUUGUAAAAAGUUAACCAUUACAGCAAAGUUCAACCUGUGGAAAUAGGUGAGUCUGUUUUGGCCAAAAUCUGUAGCACUGAGCAGUGGAAAGGGGGUUGAAGAUUUCAGCCCUUUUUAUUGCAGAAUAAAACCUCCUUCUGGAGAUGAGCAAGAGGUUUUGCCCAAAUAACUCCUGUAUGAGGCAGGGUGAGGGUUAUCCCUGUCCUAGCACAGCCCUGUGCAACCUGACCUUGAAUGUUUCCAGGGAUGGGGCAUCCACCUCCUCCCCUGGCAGCCUGUACCAGUGUUUUGUAAGGGAAUUUCCUCCUAAAUCUGUCUUGUCCUCACUCCACCAGGCUGGAAGCUCCAGUGGCUCCCAGAGAUGGCCCUGCUGGGCAGCCACCUGCUCCCUUGCAUUCCACAGACUAAAACACAUUCAAAAUUUAUUCAUCAAAGUUAUCCUUGAGGAACCAGCUCUUCCAGCAUCCUGAACCCCAAAACACACCCACAUGCUCUGAUGCCAGGGGAGCACGUUCAUCCUGGCUGCUCCUCUCCCGUGUCUCCCAGCAGGGACAAAGCAGGAUGUCCUGACUCCUGGGGGCUGCUCAAACACUCUGUGCCUGUGCCUGUGCCAUGGAGGUUAAACCCUGACACUCCUGAGCACAUGGCAGAGCUCUGCCAGCUGCUGAGAAAUGAGAUUGCAACAUGGGCCAUGUUCAAUCAUGGAUUUUGGACUUGUUACACCCUCUCCUGCUGUGACCCAACCAGCCACAGCCAUAUGGAGUGGUGGGAGCACCAAGGUCAGCUUUGGCAGCAGCCCUGCCCGGAGCCCCUCCAUAAAUCACACACUAAACCCGUGUCUCUGGCCAUCUGGAGGCUCCCAGCUGGACCACGAGCUCGGAUGUUACACCUCUUGGCACUGCAGUGGUGGGCAGUGGCAGCACGGGAUGCUGAAUGCUGUCCGUGGGAAUGGGAUGUUCUCUGUGGGAAUGGGAUGUUCUCCAAAGGAAUGGGAUGUUCUCCAUGGGAAUGGGAUUUUUUCUGUGGGAAUGGGAUGUUCUCCACAGGAAUGGGAUGUUCUCCGUGGUAAUGGGAUAUUCUCCAAAGCGAUGGGAUGUUCUCCGUGGGAAUGGGAUAUUCUCUGUGGGAAUGGGAUAUUCUCCAAAGGAAUGGGAUGUUCCCCGUGGGAAUGGGAUGUUUUCUGUGGGAAUGGGAUGUUCUCCAUGGGAAUGAGAACGUUCUCCCAUGGGAAUGGGAUGUUUUCUGAAGAUGUUCUCCACAGGAAUGGGAUAUGUUCUCCACGGGAAUGGGAUACUCUCCAUGGGAAAGGGAUGCCCCCAGAGCAAUGCAGGGCACCAGCCCAAAUCACCCCAAGACCUAAACAAACUCUGCUCUUUCCACCACCCUGCAGAGGAAUGAAUUCACCUCACCUGCAUUUCAAUCAAUUUCAGCAUACAGGUGCCUGGAAAGCAACAUUUCUUCUUUUGAAAGAGAAAGUCCUUCUUAGUCCCACCUCUUCCACCUUCUUUCUGGUCUAGAGCAAAUUGUUGUUGCUGGUGGUGCUGUUUUCCUGCAGAAAUGAGCAGGUUAACCUGUGUCAUUUGGAAAUACCAUUUGCCUUCUUCCCUCCAGAUGGAAACUCUUUGCUUUUUGCUAUCAUUAAACACACAACUAAAUCAAGAUAUGAUCUGCUAACAUAUUCAAAAUAAUGUUUGGCCUGAAUUUUUUUUUCCACUUCAAACAUCAAUUUCAUUUCAUAAUGAAUACAUGCUUCAUCUCAUAACAUUUCAUUUUUCAUACAUUUAGCAAAAUUGCUUAACUGAUAUUUUUUCCCCUAAACAGCUUUAUCCCUACAUUAAAGACAUGCAAAUCAAAGACUUGCACUCUUAUAUAAUGUGCAGAACUCCCUACUGUUGGUUCAAUUGCUAAAUUCUAAAAUAUUCAUAAUAACUAUAUUUUUUACAACAUUAACUCAGUAUUGUGAUUCUUUUUUCAGUGAAAGAUACACAAGCAGAAUUUUACAGGUAUCUGUGUGCAAUGGUUUUUUGUUUUUAUUCACUCCCCUCUCCUGGGGGGAGCCUCCCCAGCACCCACCACGUGCUCCACCUCCCGGGGGCGUUAUCAGGAACGCAGGCAAGGCACAUCCAGCCUCCCUUCCUAAGCCUAAUGCCCUUUGCAAUUCUUGUCUGAGCAGUUGUUAGCUGAAGACAAGACGACUUAUUUCCAUUCAUUCCCCGCAUAAUCCACCUUAUGAAUUUCCACUUCACCUACCCGCACAGCCGAGGAGCCAGAAAUACAAAAUAUUUCCUACUGUGUUUUAAACCCACAUCCUCCUGGAUACACGAUAAGAGCUUAAUAGCUUUGACACUGCACUGUUUUCAUAUUCAUGCCUAAGUUAUGGAUACAGCAACAGAUCAGCACUUCUUUGUGCUUGGCAUUGGCUCUGCUUCGCUGCCUUAAACUGUCUGAGUCAAGGCCACGUUUUAAUGCCAUAGAGCUCUAUUCAAAUACCAGUAUGACCACAUUUUAAAAGCCACCCUGUACCACUUCAUUGCCGCAGAUGUCCUUUACAUCUGGCAAGGGCCGUUUCUCUGCGUGUCAACAGUAAUUCAGUUUAACAGCUGUCUCUUUUGACAAGCUUAGUGUCAGACUCUAAAAUGACAGGGUGACAGUUUUCCUUUUCUUUAACAGAACAUAGUGAAAAUUAACUGUUUGAAUGCACGAGCACCAAACGCCUCCCGAAUACAGUUUGGAGUCAAGGGAAUGGGGUUGGGAAUUGUUGGUAUUAACAAUCCGAACUGGAAACCUGUAGGGUCUGACAAAUCCUGGCACUGCCCUGGAACUGAGAUUUUUACCUGAAAUCAAAGUGAUCAGCAGCCAGAAACACUUAAAUUGGGUUGAAGUAGAUGUUAGAGGGAAACCCUGGGAAUUUGCACACUGGCAAAUUUUCCUGAAUUGCAUAAAGACACGGGACAAUAUUUCAUACUCAGUACAUGUAAAAGUAUUCAGCUUUCCAAAAUUACUCCAUACACACAAGUUUUCCACAAAUUUCAGGCCUCCAAAAACACCUCAGCAUAAUUUCUGUAGAACUACAACUGUACCUGGAGCAAUACUGUACGUCUUCAUGACUGAAACCUUUAACAGCAAAACCAGCUUGUGGACAGUCAUAAAGUGCCACCAUGAUUUAUAAGCCACCAAUAAAUGCUACCAAGACACUGCUUUAAUCUGGUUUAAGAGUGAGCUUUACGAGGCUGCUUGUAUUUGGCCCACAUAAAAGCAAAUUAAAAAUAUAUAAACCCCACAUUAUCUGUGUUUAAACCAUGCACUGGUGGCAGUUGUACAAUGGGUCACCUCCUUGUGUCUCUGCUCUCCAGGACUGAGCAUUGAGGAUGGAAGAUGCCUCCCCAGUUCAGUUCUUGGCCAACCUCAGAGUGGCUGCAGUGCCACUUGAUUCCAUCUCACACAAUUUGUUUUUAAGAAUUACAGAAGAUUGUCUGUUGUUUGUUCCUGGGUAAGCAGGUACAGCCAAAGCAUAACAGAAUAAACAACAAAAACCCAACAGGUUGAAAGGAUGCAAAAACAAGCAUAAUAUUGAAGCUCCUUAAGUGAUUGCUUUUGUUGGCUUAAUGUUACCAUAAGAAAGAAUUUUUUUUACCAAGGUGGCAGAACAGUGGCACGGGAUGCUCAGAGAGGUGGAAGGUGCCCUGACCCUGAGAACAUUCAAAGUUGUCUUGGACAGGGCUCUAAGCAAUGUGGUGUAGCUGAAGAUGUCCCUGCUCAUGACAGGGGGGUUGGACUGGAUGGCAUUGAGGAGUCCCUUCCACCCCAAACCAUUCUCUUUAUCAUUCUCAAUGAUAAAUAUUUGUAUAUAAUAUCCAUGACUACAACAUGUGGUCACCUCAUGAUAUUUAGAACAAAUCACACACAAAUACCUACAAAUACCUCUAAAAGCCAUGCUCAUUUUUAUCAGCUGGGACGGAGAUUUCCCAUUUCUCAGUCUCAUAACACAGCCCAGCUCUUCCUUUUUUAUUCCACCUUCUUAAACACAAUUGGUCACAACCUGCAGAAGUCACUGAUUGUCCACCACUCUGUAUCCAGACCUUUCCUACAGCAAAACCUUGUCCCUGUGCCGCAAGGGUGGCACAGAGAUGCUGACAGUGCCACCUCCCUCCCCACUCCUUCCUCACCCACACACCCUGUGCACUCAUUUCCAUAUCCCAGGAAUUCAUACUUUCAUAGCCAGAGGUGAGUCUCUGCAAAGGGAACACAUUGCUGGGGUUUUAUUAAUAUAUCAUGAAGCUCAGUUAGCUGCAAACACAUAUUUUUAGCACAACAUCAGCCCCAUGGGACGUGCAGGUCGCUGCCUUUGGAAGGGUGGGCUGUUAUUAGAAUUGCAUUCAGAGCUCAGCUACACAAAACAUAGAGCAUCACUUUAAAUACUUCAUCUCCCUAAAACCUCUCACAUGCCUGGAACACUAAUAAUUCUAUAACUUAAGCUGAACAGAGUACUAUUCAGCUGUAAAUUUUAUGGCUAACCUCUCCACCUCUUAUGAAGUGUGAAAAGAGGCUUCAUAUCUGUCAGUCUUUGCUCAGAAAUGACUUUCGCUGAUUACUUAAACUUUCAUUAAAUAAGCUUUCCACAAGCUGUAAAAACAGAACACAGUAGGGAAAAAAUUGGCUCUCCUUUAAAAGUGCUGUAAAGUCUCUUUUUGAAUGAGUAAUUAGAAAUGUGUAAACUCAUUUAUGGAUAUGUGAGAAGCACACACAAAAAAUUUGACAUUCCAUGGAAGUAUUUCUGUGUGCUAUCAAAUUCCAUUGUAUUUCACAGAGACCCAAACUAUACAGACCCAAAAUACACAUACAUUAGUGGACAUGGGUUAUUUGCCAAGGAGGAAUUUACAUACAGUACAAGUAAAACAUCCUCAUUUAAAUCUAUGACAAUGGAUACUCACAUUCUUAAAGAGAAAUCACAGCUGUUUGUCUUUCCUCUCAUAUUUAUACAGAUUGCAAAGCUGUUGACAGAGCACGAUUUGAGCUGGGCCUUUCCAACUGCUUACUGUUAUUUUUAUUGCCAUUGUCAGCUAUCUUUUCCAUAUCAAGAUUAAGCUUAGAUGAAGAGGUUCUGAUAUCCCAAACCCAUACAGGAACACCCAGGUGGUCAGGCAGAACAGAACCCACAUCCUACUGCUGGUCCUCGUCCCCCUGAAAAUCCCAAACCCUUUUAGUUAAACCAAGUUUCCAUCUUCAUUUCCCACACACAGACAAGCUGUCCAUCCCCAAACCAGACUCUGCAGAUGCUCUGCAGCCCCCUUAUAACUUCAGUUUUUGGGGCCCUUUCCCUCUCUUAAAACUUGCAUUAUUUGUGCUGAAAACUUGCUUUGCCUCUGAGCGUCACGCUCGGCUCCGCGGCAGGGGGUGAGAAUCUCAUCUCAUUUCAUCUCAUCUCAGCAGAAGGGAGAGACAGGCAGAGCUGAGGGUGAUGGGUGGUGCCCCUGUGUGAUUUCCCACCUCCCUGGGAGAGGGGACAGGCCAUCCCGGGGCCAGGGAGCUGGAAAGCAUCCCACCUCCGGGCUGGUAGGAUGUUUGCUGGGGGAUGUCCCGCUGGGCACACGUACUGCGCACUAUAAAUAGUAAUGUCUUCCAUGCUCCUCUCAACGGAGGAAUCUGCAGGAGGGGAAAUAGUCUCAAAUCUGUGCCAUUUUCAAGGCAAACAGAGCCAGCCUCAUUCCCUCCUCGGCAGGGAAGCUGGAGGUAGGGGGUGCUCACCCCCAGUCCUGUGGAAUUAGGAAAAGCAGGGCCUGGCUGAUGACUCUGGGGGUGAAGAGCUGCCCCACCACCCACUGCCAACCUUUCCAUCCCACUUUGUCCCACAUUUUCCUUCCCCUCCAGCCCUUCUCCCAGGAAGAUGCUGGUCACCCUGAAAGGUUUAGGGGGUGACAUAGGAGGUGGCAUUAACUGCUUCCCAAAGCACCCCUGCUGGAAGGGACUGCCAGAUGCUGCUCCCCCUCUGAAUCCCACGGAUUUCCAGCAUGGAAAUGGUGCUGAGGAGAGCAAAGAGCACUGCAGUGCUUUCUGCCUAGAAGAUAUUAGCAAAAUACCUCUCCCAGUAACGAUAUUAGGUUUAUUAUUAUUAUUUUAAUCCCCCAGAGUGAUCUAUACCCCACCUGCAAAGUCCAAUAAUCCUGUUGGUAGCAGAGCAAUGCCCCUGCUCCUGCUUCCCACCACUGCUCCAAGCCAAUUCCCUGGCAAAGCACCCCCAGGCCCAUUUUGGUGCCAAGUCUGUUAUAAAACCAACCACAGUGCAAAUGUUUUCAAGGAGAAGAACAAAAGUGUGAGAAAGGAAAAGGCUUCACACAUCUUCAGCGUGGAGAAUGUAUUUAGUGCUCCCAGAACCUAUUAGAUGGGGUGAUCCAGGCAAUUUAUUGUUUUGUCAAUACCUUUUAUUUUGAUUUAAUAACUUACAAACCCCACGGUCUAUCUGUAGCGCAGCCUCAACUUUCUUUACACAGCCCC